rfam:Lentisphaera araneosa HTCC2155 1101329224544, whole genome shotgun sequence.
CCUAGCUCUCACGAGCUAGGCUAAUUUAUACCGUGCUUUCAGCACU